UGAACCUCGGAUCAGG
rnacentral:rRNA from 1 species